AUACAAAUUGUACUAGUUAAUUUUUUUAAUUUAGUUAGAUAAAAAUUGUUUAAUUUAAAAUUAAAUUUUUAAGGUGAAAUUUUAAAUUUGAAAAAUUUAAUGAUUUGUUUUUGAAGCUAGGAAAUUUUGGGUUAAACUAGGAUUAGAUACCCUAUUAUUCAAAUUGUGAUUUUAAAUUAAAAUUAUUAUAAGUUAUUGUCUUUAAAGUUAAAGAUUAUGGCGGUGUUUUAGUCUGUUCAGAGGAAUCUGUUUUUUAAUCGACAGUCCACGAUAAAUUUUACCUAAUUUUUUAAUUUGUAUAUCGCCGUGGUUUGGAUAUUUUAUAAGAAAACUAAUGUUCAUGUUUUUUAUUAAAAGAGAAUUCAGGUCAAGGUGCAGUUUAUGGUUAGGUUAAAAUGGGUUACAAUAAAUUUAUUUUCAGUUAAUUUUUUUAUAAAAUUUUAUAAGUUGGAUUUGAAAGUAAUUUUUUUAUUUUUUUAAAAUGAUUAAGCUCUAAAAUAUGCACAUAUCGCCCGUCGCUUUCAUUUUUAAAAUGAAAUAAGUCGUAACAAAGUAGGUUUAUUGGAAAAUGAACCUAGAA
rnacentral:rRNA from 1 species